rnacentral:rRNA from 1 species
UACGGAGGGGGCAAGCGUUGUUCGGAAUUACUGGGCGUAAAGCGUGCGCAGGCGGCUUUGCAAGACAGAUGUGAAAUCCCCGGGCUUAACCUGGGAACUGCAUUUGUGACUGCAUGGCUAGAGUGCGGCAGAGGGGGAUGGAAUUCCGCGUGUAGCAGUGAAAUGCGUAGAUAUGCGGAGGAACACCGAUGGCGAAGGCAAUCCCCUGGGCCUGCACUGACGCUCAUGCACGAAAGCGUGGGGAGCAAACAGG